GGCAGGGUGGUUUAAGUAAGGUCAGAGAAAGACCUCCGGCGGCAUCCAACGGAAGUGCCGACCGAAAGUGGGGGGCAUGAGAAUGAGGCCGGAGGAUAGGGGAAAUUCCUUGGGGUAAGCAGUCAAAAUGAGUGGGAGAAUCAGGAGGAACAUCCGCGGAUGAAGGAAGACCAACUCCCGGCCAACACGUGACAAUGAGGCAUGCAAGAAAGGGGGAGCAAACAAGCAUUAGAUACCCACCGUAGUCCGUCGCCCUCCAUAGAUGGGAAUCAGGAUGGUGGGUGCAAAUUGGCAUUGCAGUAUAGAAGAUAACGCGUUAAAAUCGCCGCCCGGGGAGUACGGUCGCAAGAGUGAAACUCAAAAGAAUAGACGGGGGCCCGCACACGCGGUGGAGUAUAUGGUUUAAUUCGAUGCAACGCGAAGAACCCUACACGCCCUUGACACGCAGGGAACAUUCCAGAGAUAGAGAGUUGCCUUCGGGAGCCGUCACACAGGCAGUGCAUGCAUGUCGUUAGUUAGUUUCGUUAGAUAUAGGGUUAAGUCCCUCAACGAGCGCAACCCUCCUCCGUAGUUACCAGCAAGUAACAGUGGGACAUUUAAGGAGGCCGCCGGUGACAAACCGGAGGAAAGUGGGGAAGACGUCAAGUCCUCAAGGCCCUUACGACCAGGGGUACACACGUACUACAAUGGUGGGGACAGAGGGGUGCAAGCCGGCGGCGGUAAGCCAAUCCCAGAAACCCCAUUUCAGUCCGGAUUGGAGUCUGCAACUCGACUCCAUGAAGUCGGAAUCGCUAGUAAUCGCAGAUCAGCAUUGCUGCGGUGAAUACGUUCCCGGGUCCUUGUACACACCGCCCGUCACACCCAUGGGAGUUUUUUGCACCAGAAGCAGGUAGCUUAACCUUAGGGAGGGCGCUUGCCCACGGUGUGGCUUGAUGAACUGGGGUGAAA
rnacentral:rRNA from 1 species